rnacentral:lncRNA from 1 species
CCGGCAUUGAUUGUUCUCGACUAGUCAUAGUGGUUUAGUUGCAUCGAGAAUAUGCAACCACUCUAUUAGCAAAGAGUUACUCCAGGGUAAAGAUGGGGUUGGACCCAAUAACUUUUAGGUGAGGGACCCAAUGACGGCUUUGCACCUGCUUGUGAAUGGUGGGUCUGGCUUAAUUAACGAGUGUGGACAAUAACUGCUUGGUGAGCCCACAUGACUUAGACAUCAAGUGGCUGC